GCUGUGAGGCAUGCUGGAGGUAUCAGAAGUGCGAAUGCUGACAUAAGUAACGAUAAAGCGGGUGAAAAGCCCGCUCGCCGGAAGACCAAGGGUUCCUGUCCAACGUUAAUCGGGGCAGGGUGAGUCGACCCCUAAGGCGAGGCCGAAAGGCGUAGUCGAUGGGAAACAGGUUAAUAUUCCUGUACUUGGUGUUACUGCGAAGGGGGGACGGAGAAGGCUAUGUUAGCCGGGCGACGGUUGUCCCGGUUUAAGCAUGUAGGCUGGUUGUCCAGGCAAAUCCGGAUAAUCAAGGCUGAGGUGUGAUGACGAGGCACUACGGUGCUGAAGUAACAAAUGCCCUGCUUCCAGGAAAAGCCUCUAAGCAUCAGGUAACAUCAAAUCGUACCCCAAACCGACACAGGUGGUCAGGUAGAGAAUACCAAGGCGCUUGAGAGAACUCGGGUGAAGGAACUAGGCAAAAUGGUGCCGUAACUUCGGGAGAAGGCACGCUGGUGUGUAGGUGAAGUCCCUGCGGAUGGAGCUGAGACCAGUCGAAGAUACCAGCUGGCUGCAACUGUUUAUUAAAAACACAGCACUGUGCAAACACGAAAGUGGACGUAUACGGUGUGACGCCUGCCCGGUGCCGGAAGGUUAAUUGAUGGGGUUAUCCGUAAGGAGAAGCUCUUGAUCGAAGCCCCGGUAAACGGCGGCCGUAACUAUAACGGUCCUAAGGUAGCGAAAUUCCUUGUCGGGUAAGUUCCGACCUGCACGAAUGGCGUAAUGAUGGCCAGGCUGUCUCCACCCGAGACUCAGUGAAAUUGAACUCGCUGUGAAGAUGCAGUGUACCCGCGGCAAGACGGAAAGACCCCGUGAACCUUUACUAUAGCUUGACACUGAACAUUGAGCCUUGAUGUGUAGGAUAGGUGGGAGGCUUUGAAGCGUGGACGCCAGUCUGCGUGGAGCCAACCUUGAAAUACCACCCUUUAAUGUUUGAUGUUCUAACGUUGGCCCCUUACCGGGGUUGCGGACAGUGUCUGGUGGGUAGUUUGACUGGGGCGGUCUCCUCCCAAAGCGUAACGGAGGAGCACGAAGGUUAGCUAAUCCUGGUCGGACAUCAGGAGGUUAGUGCAAUGGCAUAAGCUAGCUUGACUGCGAGCGUGACGGCGCGAGCAGGUGCGAAAGCAGGUCAUAGUGAUCCGGUGGUUCUGAAUGGAAGGGCCAUCGCUCAACGGAUAAAAGGUACUCCGGGGAUAACAGGCUGAUACCGCCCAAGAGUUCAUAUCGACGGCGGUGUUUGGCACCUCGAUGUCGGCUCAUCACAUCCUGGGGCUGAAGUAGGUCCCAAGGGUAUGGCUGUUCGCCAUUUAAAGUGGUACGCGAGCUGGGUUUAGAACGUCGUGAGACAGUUCGGUCCCUAUCUGCCGUGGGCGCUGGAGAAUUGAGGGGGGCUGCUCCUAGUACGAGAGGACCGGAGUGGACGCAUCACUGGUGUUCGGGUUGUCAUGCCAAUGGCACUGCCCGGUAGCUAAAUGCGGAAGAGAUAAGUGCUGAAAGCAUCUAAGCACGAAACUUGCCCCGAGAUGAGUUCUCCCUGAGACUUUAAGUCUCCUGAAGGAACGUUAAAGACGAUGACGUUGAUAGGCCGGGUGUGUAAGCG
rnacentral:rRNA from 1 species